ACAAAGGCUCUUUUAAGAGCCACAUCAACUCUUUUAAAUGAGAUUGU
rfam:Takifugu rubripes genomic scaffold, scaffold_9529